GAUGAACGCUAGCGGCAGGCUUAAUACAUGCAAGUCGAGGGGCAGCAUGAUUGUAGCAAUACAAUUGAUGGCGACCGGCAAACGGGUGCGGAACACGUACACAACCUUCCAACAAGUGGGGGAUAGCCCAGAGAAAUUUGGAUUAAUACCCCGUAACAUAGCGAUGUGGCAUCACAUUGCUAUUAUAGAUUUUUCGCUUGUUGAUGGGUGUGCGGCUGAUUAGAUCGUUGGCGGGGUAACGGCCCACCAAGUCUACGAUCAGUAGCUGAUGGGAGAGCACGAUCGGCCACACGGGCAGUGGGACACGGGCACGGCGCCUACGAGAGGCAGCAGUAAGGAAUAUUGGACAAUGGAGGCAAGUAUGAUCCAGCCAUGCCGCGUGAAGGAUUAAGGUCCUGUGGAUUGUAAACUUCUUUUAUAAGGGACGAAAAAAGGCUUUUCUAAGUCGUCUGACGGUACCUUAUGAAUAAGCACCGGCUAACUCCGUGCCAGCCGCCGCCGUAAGAC
rnacentral:rRNA from 1 species